rnacentral:rRNA from 1 species
CACGUAGGGGGCGAGCGUUGUCCGGAUUUAUUGGGCGUAAAGAGCUCGUAGGCGGUUUCGUAAGUCGGAUGUGAAAACUCCAGGCUCAACUUGGAGACGCCAUUCGAUACUGCGAUGACUUGAGUCCGGUAGGGGAGUGUGGAAUUCCUGGUGUAGCGGUGAAAUGCGCAGAUAUCAGGAGGAACACCGGUGGCGAAGGCGGGUCUCUGGGCAAUACUGACGCUGAGGAGCGAAAAGCGUGGGGGAGCGAACAGG